rnacentral:rRNA from 1 species
GAAGAGUUUGAUCCUGGCUCAGAACGAACGCUGGCGGCAUGGCUAAGACAUGCAAGUCGUACGGGACGUAGCAAUACGUUCAGUGGCGAAAGGGAGCGUAAUACAUGGGUAACGUACCUUGGACACAGGGACAACGGCGGGAAACUGCCGCUAAUACCUGAUGAAGUCGCCGGGGGGCAUCCUCUGGCGACCAAAGGGCGGGGACCGCAAGGCCUGCCGGUCUGAGAGCGGCCCAUGUCCUAUCAGCUAGUUGGUGGGGUAACGGCUCACCAAGGCUGCGACGGGUAGCGGGUGUGAGAGCAUGGCCCGCCUCAUCGGGACUGAGACACUGCCCGGACACCUACGGGUGGCUGCAGUAACGAAUAUUGGGCAAUGGGCGAAAGCCUGACCCAGCAAUGCCGCGUGCAGGAGGAAGUCCUUCGGGAUGUAAACUGCUGUCAGGGUCCAGCAAGCGAUACGGGUGAACAAUCCGUAAAGUUGAGCCGACCCAAAGGAAGCCUCGGCUAACUCUGUGCCAGCAGCCGCGGUAAGACAGAGGAGGCAAGCGUUGUUCGGAAUCAUUGGGCUUAAAGGGCGUGCAGGCGGCCGCGCAAGUGUCCUGUGAAAGCCCCCGGCUCAACCGGGGAAGUGCGGGGCAAACUGCGCGGCUUGAGGUCGGUAGAGGCGCCUGGAACUCUAGGUGGAGCGGUGAAAUGCGUAGAUAUCUAGAGGAACGCCAGGAGCGAAAGCGGGGCGCUGGGCCGAUUCUGACGCUGAGACGCGAAAGCGUGGGGAGCAAACAGGAUUAGAUACCCUGGUAGUCCACGCCGUAAA